AAGAAUGAAGCAAUUUUGCAAUCAGUUUCGACCUGAAUAAAUGGAAAACCCCCAUUCUUA
rnacentral:tRNA from 1 species